UACGUAGGGACCAAGCGUUGUCCGGAAUCAUUGGGCGUAAAGAGCGUGUAGGCGGCUUGUUAAGUCUUGCGUGAAAUCUCGGGGCUCAACCCCGAGCGGUCGUGAGAAACUGGCAGGCUAGAGUGCGGGAGAGGAGAGUGGAAUUCCUGGUGUAGCGGUGAAAUGCGCAGAUAUCAGGAAGAACACCCGUGGCGAAGGCGGCUCUCUGGUACGUGACUGACGCUGAGACGCGAAAGCGUGGGGAGCGAACAGG
rnacentral:rRNA from 1 species